rnacentral:rRNA from 1 species
GUGUGUUAGUGGAAGCGUCUGGAAAGGCGCGCGAUACAGGGUGACAGCCCCGUACACAAAAAUGCACAUAUUGUGAGCUCGAUGAGUAGGGCGGGACACGUGGUAUCCUGUCUGAAUAUGGGGGGCCCAUCCUCCAAGGCUAAAUACUCCUGACUGACCGAUAGUGAACCAGUACCGUGAGGGAAAGGCGAAAAGAACCCCGGCGAGGGGAGUGAAAAAGAACCUGAAACCGUGUACGUACAAGCAGUGGGAGCACGCUUAGGCGUGUGACUGCGUACCUUUUGUAUAAUGGGUCAGCGACUUAUAUUCUGUAGCAAGGUUAACCGAAUAGGGGAGCCGAAGGGAAACCGAGUCUUAACUGGGCGUUAAGUUGCAGGGUAUAGACCCGAAACCCGGUGAUCUAGCCAUGGGCAGGUUGAAGGUUGGGUAACACUAACUGGAGGACCGAACCGACUAAUGUUGAAAAAUUAGCGGAUGACUUGUGGCUGGGGGUGAAAGGCCAAUCAAACCGGGAGAUAGCUGGUUCUCCCCGAAAGCUAUUUAGGUAGCGCCUCGUGAAUUCAUCUCCGGGGGUAGAGCACUGUUUCGGCA